rnacentral:tRNA from 1 species
UAGCCUAGUGGUUAAGGGUAUGGAUCGCCAAUCCAGAGACGGCGGGUUCGAUUCCCGU